UUUUUGAAAAUGUGAAAGUUA
rnacentral:piRNA from 1 species